AUAUAUCACUACAGAACAGUAUUGAUUAUAAAGUUGAUAGAGAUCAAGUGAGACGAGUUGAAUUCACUCAAGGAGACAAUGGUGUAUAUACAAGAUUGUUUGCGAGGAAAAUAAAGAAUUAAUAAUAACAUUAUAAUGACAGUAAAUACACUGUGUGUGUGUGUGACUGUGU